CUUUCCAAUAUUCGAUUGUCGAUAGUCGUCAGUGUCGGUGGUUCGAGCCUCAAUCAGGCCAGAAAAAAAAGAUCGGUUGUCAGACGUGUACACAAAUACACAGCUGGUUGAAUCGAUUCAUAAAAAAUCUGGCAUGGUUGUGUGUAGAGCUGUCACACGGCUUACUUGUCAAUACAUUGUUGAGAGCUGCCGGUAUUCUACUUCUACUGUGCUUUAGUGGGUUUAGCACUGCUAUAGGUACUAAGGCGCAAUAUUCAAAAAUCCUUCAGAGUGUAAAA